UCUUAAACUUAAAGGAAUUGAACGGAAGGGCACCACCAGGAGUGGAGCCUGCGACUUAAUUUGACUCAACACGGGAAACCUCACCAGGCCCAGACACCGGAAGGAUUGACAGAUUGAGAGCUCUUUCUUGAUUCGGUGGGUGGUGGUGCAUGGCCGUUCUUAGUUGGUGGAGCGAUUUAUCUGGUUAAUUCCGAUAACGAACGAGACUCUAGCCUGCUAAACAGGCGUUCAUUUCCGAUAUCUCAAGGGCAGGCGCUCGGAUCCGUACGUCGCGUGUUCUCGUCGUGUGCGCUGCGCGCGUGCGUCGCGUGCUCGCGUUUCGUACGUCGCGCGCGUGCGCGUCGUCGCGUCUCGCGUUCGUCCGUUUCUACGGGCCGUGCGUUCGCUUGUGCGCGCCUCCGCGUUCGCGUACGGGCGGCAUCGGCGUGCGCCGUGCGUGUGCGGUUUUUACUAUCGGCGUAAAUAGAAAUCUUCUUAGAGGGACAGGCGGAUCCUAUCCGCACGAGAUUGAGCAAUAACAGGUCUGUGAUGUCCUUAGAUGUUCUGGGCCGCACGCGCGCUACACUGAAGGAAUCAGCGUGUCCUCCGCUGGCCGAAAGGUCCGGGUAACCCGCUGAACCUCCUUCGUGCUAGGGAUUGGGGCUUGCAAUUGUUCCCUAUGAACGAGGAAUUCCCAGUAAGCGCGAGUCAUAAGCUCGCGUUGAUUGCGUCCCUGCCCUUUGUACGCACCGCCCGUCGCUACUACCGAUUGAAUGAUUUAGUGAGGUCUUCGGACCGGUGCGCGGCAGCGUUUUGACAUUGCCGCCGUUGCUGGGAAGAUGACCAAACUUGAUCAUUUUAGAGGAAGUAAAAGUCGUAACAAGGUU
rnacentral:rRNA from 1 species